UUCUUUCCAGAAGGUCUCUCUGUAGCUCUCUUACAUUUCUUUUUCUCUCUUCCCCGAGAGAUCCUAAAUGGGGUUCGUGGAGGAAGAACUCACCUUUUGGCAUGUGAGAAUAGCAACUAAAUGGAAAGAACAACGCACGCAGGAUUCAGGCGAUAAGAAGCCGCAGCACGACGUCCAAGGUUCAAAUCCCGCCAUACCCAGACACCCCACAAAAUAAUAAAAAGAAGAAAAGGCAUCUUGAACUCUAUUCUGGACAUGAGUAAAAUAGUGGCAGGCAAGAUGCAAUUGGAGGAGGGAGCUUUUCAUCGGAACCCUUGAGGAAGUGGUUGAUUUUUUUUUUGGGUUGCCGUGAAGAAUGGCGUAGAUGUUAUGUGAGAUCUCUAUGAUGGUACAGUAGAAAGAUAUUUUUGUGUGAAAGGUGAAUAUGAAAAGUUGAAGUUCAUGGCAGAGGAGCACAUUGUUGUUCAUGCGUGGGUCAUAAAGCCUAGGGAAGAAGCAUUUGUAGCUAACUCUAGCUAUAAGGGUAGUUUACUCAAUUCAUGGGGUUGUAUCAUGAGAUAGAGAUAGUGAUGAGCUUUUGAUAUUCAAGGGGUUUGGGUGAAGAUUCUAUAUAAUUUGCAUUUGAGCUGCUCCACUCGGGAAAGAAGUUCCAAUGCUGAUCGCCAUCUGGAUCACCCAAUUCAGGGUGAUCCUGGGUAAAAGUAUUUCAAAAGGAAAACAGUUAGCCGAAGCAUUGUUUCCAAUAAAAAGAAAUGGAUUCAAGAAGGUAUACAAGGAAUGGCCAAUCUGAACUGAGGAUUGCAAUGGAAACCAGACCAUGUCCGCUUUCAGGGACUCUGUGAUAUUAUGGAUAUUGGAAGGAAUCCUCGAUAUCUGGACCCUAUGGAUAUUGGAAG